GNUUUAACGCUGGCGGCGUGCUUAACUCAUGCAAGUCGAACGGUGAACACGGNAGCUUGCUCUGUGGGAUCAGUGGCGAACGGGUGAGUAACACGUGAGCAACCUGCCCCUGACUCUGGGAUAAGCGCUGGAAACGGCGUCUAAUACUGGAUAUGUGACGUGAUCGCAUGGUCUGCGUCUGGAAAGAAUUUCGGUUGGGGAUGGGCUCGCGGCCUAUCAGCUUGUUGGUGAGGUAAUGGCUCACCAAGGCGUCGACGGGUAGCCGGCCUGAGAGGGUGACCGGCCACACUGGGACUGAGACACGGCCCAGACUCCUACGGGAGGCAGCAGUGGGGAAUAUUGCACAAUGGGCGCAAGCCUGAUGCAGCAACGCCGCGUGAGGGACGACGGCCUUCGGGUUGUAAACCUCUUUUAGCAGGGAAGAAGCGAAAGUGACGGUACCUGCAGAAAAAGCGCCGGCUAACUACGUGCCAGCAGCCGCGGGNUAAUA
rnacentral:rRNA from 1 species